rnacentral:lncRNA from 1 species
UGGAGGAUGCACCGGAUGUCGGUUAUGAAGAUGAUGAUUAUUUCUAAUACAUGUAAUAUUAUGUUAUCCUUAAUUUGCAUCUCUAUCUAAGUACAUGUUGUUUAAUUGUGGUUACUGAUUUACUCUUCUUACAUGCAGGUCACUGAACAAAGAUGGUGGGCGGCAUGAGGAACGUGAGGUCACGGUACGCCCGACCGAGGGAGGAGCCUCAGGAGCAGCCUGAGGGGUCGGGGAGCAGGUCGAGGAGCCGGUCGAGGCGAACCUCGAGCAGGAGGACCAGGAGCGUUAGCAGUCUUCAGGGGGAGACACCCACGGUGCAGCAGCAGGAGACGCCCACCUGGGAGCAGGAGGAGCAGGAGACGACCACCGGGGCGCACGAGGAGUAGGAGCAG